rnacentral:lncRNA from 1 species
GCGAGAGCUCGGCCGCCCCAGCCCCGCCCCUCCUCGAGCCGCGGCGGUCGGGGCCGCCCACGAAGGGGUCAGGCGCUGCGGGACUAGUCGGGGUCGGGGUGGUGACCUCCGGCCACACAGCCUGGCUUUCCGCCGGGUCAGGCGGCCCCUCAGGGAGCGGCGGCCGCGGUUUAGGGCGGCCCCGGAAGCGGGGCGCCGGCGGCUUUGGUCCGGGCGUGGUGGGAGGAGUUCGCGGACAAGCCGCCCUCCCAUCCCAGCACCGUUUUUAUCCCACUCCCCCAGGCUCUCCGUGGCCGGGGCGCCAUGAAAGCCGGGUUCACAUUUGAAUUCUUAAUUUUUUUGGAGACAGUCUCGCUCUGUCGCCCAGACCGGAGUGCAGUGGCGCGAUCUCGGCUCACUGCAGCCUCUGCCUCAGCCUCCUGAGUGGCUGGGACCUACAGGCACGCGCCACCACCCCUGGCUAAUUUUUUUGUUUUUUUAAAGUAGAGACGGGGUUUCACCUUGUUGGCCAGGAUGGUCUCGGUAACUCCUGACCUCAAGUGAUCCGCCCACCUCGGCCUCCCAAAGUGCUGGGAUUACAGGCAUGAGCCACCGCUCCGGGCCCUUGCACAUAUUUUUUUAUGAACACACAGGCAGCAGCACUUUGAUUACAGUAACUUACAUGGAAGUUAUUUUAAAAUGGCUUUCCCCUUCUCUUUUUCAUGUAGGCUGCAUUUUUCAUCUGCAGCACGCUUUCUCUCAAGAAUCUCAAGCACACACAAGAAACCAGAGAGUAAAAUCACUGAGGCGUGAACACAUCCAGAGACCAAGGGCGUCACUGGCAGAAAAGCUUUUAGGCGGAUCCACGGCCCGAGAGCCACCCUGCCCAGAGACGCGGUUUCCUAGGAGCAGUUCACACGCGGCUCUGCAGCACCCACAAGCGGGGCCAGGGGCUGGUUUUCAUAGUUCACAGUCUGCAGGGAUCUUAACAAAAACAUGGCCGUGGUAAAAGUGCCUAGACCAGGCUUUCGUCACAACUCAUCAUGUUACUAGGUUAGGAUAAUAAAAAGGACUGUGAACUUCACAUCUGCCAUCUAUAAUAGAUUCUUAUUGUAGCAAUCUUGCACCAAGGGGAUUUCUUUAUUAACUCUGCCAAAUUUUCCAAAAUUACCAAAUGGAGAAAAGAGCUGGUCCCAUCUGUCACCAGGCACAACCAGUUUGGAACCAAAACUGCAGUGUCCCCAAGGCAUGCCUGUAGGUAAACAUGAGUCCAUACUGAUAAAUGAUCGAAUAAACAGGAGAGAAGAAACAAAUCUUCAAGAAGAAUAACAUGCACAGAUACUGCUCUCUCCAGGGGUUGGAGCUGAAACCUCCUCAACCCACAGAGUAUGGAAAGGGAAAAACAGGAACUUGACAGUGGAGAAAUCUGGCAGACACCACUGUGACCAGGUGGCCAAGGUCAGCACUGCCUGGGAUAGGUCGUGUGGUGGUUACAACCACCCAGUAGGAUGUGAUGAGAAAGGUGCUUGAGAAACACAUCAAACUCCAAUUGAGGGACAUUCUACAGACUACCUGGCCAGUACUCCUCAAAACUGUCAAGGUCAUGAGAAACAAGGGAAGUCUGAGAAACUGUCACAGGCAAGAGAACGCAAAGGAGAUGGGAUGACUAAAUGCAGUAUGUGCCUGGAUGGGACUCUGGGACAGAAAGCAGACAUUACGGAAAAACUGGUGAAAUCCAAAUCAAGGCUGGAUUUUAGUGAAUGGACACUAACAAUGUUGGUUUCUUAGUCAUGACAAAUGUACCAUGGGAAGAGAAGAGGUUACCAAUGGGGGAAACUAGGUGAGGGGCACACAUAAGCUCUCUGUACUAUCUCUGCCAUUUUUCUGUAAAUCAAAAAUUAGUCCAAAAUAAAAGUUUAUUGGAAAAGAAAAAAAAAGACAUAACAGAUGGUUUACCUUCUUUAUUCCACUAUGUAUAACUAUUUUGUAGGUUCAGAGAAUCAGAACACAUCUGUUGCAAAGGUGUGCGAUCCAGUCUCUUAAGGCGGGUCUCUGUUCCUAAAUGUAGAGAUGCAGUUUGGAGUCACGUUAGGAAGUGGGACAUUCUUAAGCCAUGGAGAGGAUGUGAAGGAAUACUAACCUACACUGGGACAGUGGGACCAGGACCACUGACUGGAGUCACGUGCUGUGGUCUGACAUAGAUGUCUCUAACAUCAUGUCACUUUCAUUCAUUUCAAUUUCAAAGGUUUCUUCCAAGGAAGGUCUGGAAUCUGGAGUUUUCCUUGAGGUUUCCAAUGGCGUAAGCCCCGUUUCUUCUGCAGUCUGUUUUUCUACUUCAAAUUCCCUGAAAUCCCACGGAGGUGAAAUAAUGUUUUUUAGUGUCUUCAUUGUAUGCACAUCAAAGUCAUAACAUUUUAAUUUGUCUUUAAUGUCUGCUCCUAAAAAGAAAUACUAUAAUUAGAAUAAAAUAAGAAAUUCCAUCACUUAUCAUUUCUAUUGUUAUAUAACACCAUCUCUUAUCAUUUAAGUCAGAUUAUACUAUUUAGAAUAAAAUACAAAACUCCAUCAUUUAUCAUUUCCAUCAUUAUACACCAUCUCUAUCAUUUAAGUCAAAUUAUACUUUUAAGAGCACAAGUUGAGAGCAGAAGGAAAACAACAUUCCAAUCUUCUUUUUCAUUUGUUUUCCACCAUUUGCAAAGGAAGUGUCAGAAGACUUUCAGAAGCACAUGCAGUUGCAGCUCCAGUGUUUCAACAGUUGCCCAUUUCCAAGGCCUCCUAAAUACGUAUGAGGCCUGUGGACAACUUUCUCCUCAGCUGUUACAGGUAAGAACUGCACUGUGUGGCCAGGCGCGGUGGCUCACACCUAUAAUCCCAGCACUUUGGGAGGCCGAGGCGGGCAGAUCACAAGGUCAGGAGAUCGAGACCAUCCUGGCUAACACGGUGAAACCCAGUCUCUACUAAAAAAAAAAAUACAAAAAAAUUAGCCGGGCAUGGUGGCGGGUGCCUGUAGUCCCAGCUACUCAGGAGGCUGAGGCAGGAGAAUGGCAUGAACCCAGGAGAUGGAGCUUGCAGUGAGCCGAGAUAGUGCCACUGCACUCCAGCCUGGGCAACAGAGUGAGAUUCCAUCUCAAAAAAAAAGAACUGUGCUGUGCCCAUUGGGUAUAGUCACCAAUCUUAUGCAUAAAAAAGCCACGAUGAAAUAAAAUCCAUUUCCCAUAUAUUAAAACCUUAAGGGUAAUAUAGAUUUGAACAGAUCUGAACAGAUGUAUUAGGUACAAUCAUUCGACAUAAACAAAAUGAGUUUUACACAGUUCAAACCAAUAGCUUUCAGAAAUAGGUAGUUUGGCAGAUAAUGACAUGCAAACUUUCUAAAAAUAAAAAUGACAUGAAUGGUAAAUCUUGGCCGGGCGCGAUGGCUCACGCCUGUAAUCCCAGCACUUUGGGAGGCCGAGGCGGGUGGAUCACGAGGUCAGGAGAUCGAGACCAUCCUGGCUAAUGUGGUGAAACCCCGUCUCUACUAAAAAUACAAAAAAUUAGCCGGGCAUAGUGGCGGGCGCCUGUAGUCCCAGCUACUUGGGAGGCUGAGGCAGGAGAAUGGCGUGAACCUGGGAGGCAGAGCUUGCAGUGAGCCAGGAUUGCACCACUGCACUCCAGCCUGGGUGACAGAGAGAGACUGUGUCUCAAAAAAAAAAAAAAAAAAAAAAAAAGACUUUGUCUCAAAAAAAAAAAAAAAAA